UACAUGGAAAACAGAUCAUCCACCAAGAUCUGAAGCCUGCAAACAUAAUGAUUUCAGAAGGUGACAGAAAGGCCUCUCACACUGAUUGGGGCUUGGCGAACUGCAAAGAAACCAUCUCAACGACAACAGGAACUGAUAAAACAGGGAGUUACUAUGGCCCUCUGGGAGGAACCCCUCCCUACAUGGCCCCAGAGUGCAUAGUAGAGUGUAAGAAAUGCAGCACCAUGUCAGACAUGUGGUCUCUUGGCAUCACUCUUCUGGAGAUGUUCACAAACUCUAGACCUUGGCCAAGCAAUAACCAGCAAAAAAUACGUGAGCUUCUUUAUAAAAAGCAGCGUCCUCAUGCUCUGGAUAAACUAGAGCCUACUCUUUAUGACAUUUUGAAACCACUGUUAAGAUUUAAACCCAAUUCUCGCAUGAAUGCCAAAGAUCUGGUGAAAUUGUU